rnacentral:rRNA from 1 species
AGAUUGAACGCUGGCGGCAUGCCUUACACAUGCAAGUCGAACGGCAGCACGGGAGCAAUCCUGGUGGCGAGUGGCGAACGGGUGAGUAAUACAUCGGAGCGUGCCCAAUAGUGGGGGAUAGCCCGGCGAAAGCCGGAUUAAUACCGCAUACGACCUGAGGUGAAAGCAGGGGAUCGCAAGACCUUGCGCUAUUGGAGCGGCCGAUGUCAGAUUAGCUAGUUGGUGGGGUAAAGGCCUACCAAGGCAACGAUCUGUAGUUGGUCUGAGAGGACGACAGCCUACACUGGGACUGACGACACGGCCCAGACUCCGUACGGGACGGCAGCGAGGUAGGGUAAUUUUGGACAAGUCGGGCGCAAGCCUGACUCC